rnacentral:sRNA from 1 species
GAAAGUUGCAAACGUUCAAAUGGUGCUCUCCGUCGAAGAAUCGAAGCAAAUCGCAAUUAAUUUUGCGUUGCUAGAAGAUAAUGUUAAAGCGGUUAGUUUUUCACUGUGUCUUUUUGACCCAAAAAUGCAUCACAUUUUGUUUACAAAAUUUUCAAUUUUGACGGUAGUUUUUUUACUGUAAGAUGAGAACACAAUUACAGUAUAAUGUAGAUUCUACUAAUUAAGUGUAACUAGUUUUAUACAAAAAAUUUGGCCAGGUCCUUCCACACCGCGACGAGAUGAUUGAUAUUUUCAAAACAUACGAAAUCGACGCUUAUUCAGUAUGGUUUGAGGUAUGGAUACUGAACAGUAACGGUUACACAUUACCAAUAUUCUAGACACAACACAAGCUCGAACUGCGGAACAUUGGAAAAAUUAUUGCCGACGCAAGUGGGGAAGACAUUUAAUUGCCGGUUGUCGAUGACGUCAUUGGUACGUUAGAUAUUUUUAAAGGUGGUGUAGUCGUAUUUUUUAUUGCUUUAUCAUUUUCAUAAUGAAACUUCUUGAAAACUUCUCAAAAAGAGUUAUGACGGCUCAAAAAACGGCUUAAAAUUAGAUAAAAUUUGAAAUUCGACCAACUUGUCAAGCGGCUGGAAACUGAUUUUUUUAAAAUCACCGUUAAAUUUUGGGUGUACUCUUCAAUUAUCUUGCGUUUCCAACUUUGUUUAGGUAUUUUAAAGACGAUAGACGGCGUGAUUUGGUUAAAAAAAAUUAAAAAUCUCGCCGUCCAUCGACUUUAAAAUACCUAAAUAAAGUUGAAAACGUAAGAUAAUUGACGGAGAUUUCAAAAAAAAAAGUUAGCUUCCAGCCGCUUGACAAGCCGGUCAAAUUUCAAAUUUCAACUAAUAUUAGGCCAUUUUUUGAGCCGUCAUAACUUUUUUUUUGAAGAGUUUUCAAGAAGUUUCAUUAAGAAAUUCGGUGUUUUCAGUUAAUUUUGAGUCUCAUAAAGCAAUAAAAAAAAUUCGACUACACCAUCUUUAAAAACCGCAUCUAGAAGAAUACAUUGAUUGUGUCACCUUAUGAUUUUGCUUCUGAAAAUGUAAUUUUUAUUCUAAAGGCUAUCACUGGGUAUAAUUUGACCCCCAAUGACGCCGUGCAAGAAAUCUUAGGCUCGGUAUAAACUGUAUUUUAAUAGAAAACACACCGAUGAGUCGAGCUGAAUACACGUGUCAUUUAACUUGAUGAAAUCACUGGGAGUACUGUGGGAGUUAUUGCCACCCCUAAAAUUCAAACAUAAGUUUUUCUAACGAUUUCAACGUUUCAAAGCAAUUUUGAAUAGAUUGUAAUUUUUGUUUUAAUUUUGAACUUCAACGUUUUCCAAGUCAAAACAUUUGCAGCACCGUCCAUCUACCCAAGGGCUUACUUGAAUGACACGUGCAAACGACUUUUUGAAAUCAGCACAGCUGUUGAAUUUCUGACUCCUUACCUCAAAGACGUUAAGAAGAUACUCGAAGCUUCCGAGUUUGAUAAAAAGAUUGCAAAAAAGGUUUUGAAUACAAUUAAGGUAUGUCAAAUAAAGAUUUUUUUACUAAUAAAGAUUAUACGGUAAGUGGAGUAGCCUAUGGUAAACCCUAUCCGUAAAAAUGUCUUCGUAUUUUGGUUUUGCAUUUUCCCCAGAUGAACUUGGUUUCGGUUCGAGUGUUACUAUUUAUUUUUGCUUAUUUUGAUAAUUAGAUUAAAGGUGGUGUAGUCGAAUUUUUUAUUUCUUUAUUAGACUCAAAAUUGCCUGAAAACACCGAAUUUCAUAAUGAAACUUCUUGAAAACGUUUCAAAAAAAAGUUAUGACGCCUCAAAAACAUGGCCUGAAUUAGGUAAAAUUUGAAAUUUGACCGACUUGCCAAGCGGCUGGAAACUGAUUUUUUUGAAAUUACCGUCAAAUUUUGAGUGUACUCGUCAAUUAUCUUGCGUUUUAACUUCAUUUAAGAAUUUUAAAGUCGAUGGACGGCGAGAUUUGGUUUAAAAAAAUUAAAAAGUCGCCGUCCAACGACUUUAAAAUACCUAAAUGAAGUUGAAAACGCAAGAUAAUUGACGAGUACACUCAAAAUUUGACGGUUAUUUCAAAAAAAAUCAGUUUCCAGCCGCUUGACAAGUCGGUCAAAUUUCAAAUUUUAACUAACUUUAGGCCAUUUUUUUUGAGGCGUCAAGACUUUUUUUGAGAAGUGUUCAAGAAGUUUCGUUAUGAAAUUCGGUAUUUUCAGACAAUUUUGAGUCUAAUAAAGAAAUAAAACAAAUUAGACUACACCACCUUUAAUGUAAACUUGUCAACUCAAAUUUUACUACACUCUUUUUUAUUGUUUUUCAAGAAAUCCAUACUAAAUUCAAAUGUCCAAAAAUAUGGCGACCUAGUGGUUUACUUUGCUCACUCCCAACUAUCCAUGUGUCCUGUUAAUAAGUGAUUUUUCAGAAAUUCGACGUGGUCGGCUUGAUGGAAAACGUCAAAAGGGUAUUACGUUUCAUGGAUGAAAACGUGUGCUGGUUCGACAAAACGUACAAGUCGUGGCAAACAAUUCGAAAAGAAAAUGAAGAGUUGAUAAAAUCUGGGUAUGUUUCAAGAUUGCCAUCAGAAGAGCUAACACUUUUUGUAGCCAAAUCUUAAAGGAUUAAAAGCCAAUAGUUUUAUAAUUUCAUUUUUAACACUACAUUAUUGCAUUAUUACAGAAUUGAACCAAUUGCGACUGCGGAACGAUACUGUAUACAGGUUAGUAAAACUACGUUUUUCAGUACUGACACGCGGGCGGAAAUGUGCAUUUGUGUUUCCUUAGUUUACAUAAACUUACUACACACGACUGUACUACAUACACUAACUUCUACAGUAGUCACAACUUUAAAUAAGAGUUCUCUCGAAAACGGCUCAAUUUAAAAAAAAGAUGUAUGUAUAUGAAAAAUAAUUUUUUGAGCGCGUGGCGGGACCAUUUCGUAUAAAUGCGCCCUCUUUUAGAGCGGUAGAAGUGUCAAAAAAUUGCAGUGAAACAUUUUGAAGGUGGGGUACCGAAAUCUGUGAAAUAUUAUUAAAUGACUCCAAAUUUUCCCCUGAUUCCGAAUAUCGAUGUGAAAAAAUUCAAAAAAAAUUCCCUUUUGCUAUUAAAAUCGAUAUAUAAUUUUUUUUGAAUUUUUCCACAUCGAUAUUCGGAAUCAGGGACAACUUUUGAGUCAUUCAAAAAUAUUUGCCCGGAUUUCGGAACCCCACCUUUAAUUUUCAAAGUCAUAGAUCAAAACUGAUUUUCCUUUUUUUAAAAUGUAAUUGAUACUGAAAUAAAAAUAAUAUUUUUGCAGGAAAGAGAAGUGCCAGAAGUCUCAUUUACAGGCCGUGUACUUCCAAAGUGUAUUGCGUAAGUUGAAAUGUUUUGAAUUUCUGAGUAUCCAAUAUUUUAAGAGACCCAAAGAAAUAUAGUUUUACCUUUUAUUGCAAUCAAUGUUCGUACUGCAACACCAACAUCGAUUUUUUGAAUGUUCACUUCUACUACGAACAUGCCAAAAGAGAGCAACUGAGCAAUUUGGAAUUGUAAGUGGUUUUUGAUCCAAACUGAACCCCUUUUCUUUUUCAUUUCUAAACAAACGUUGCAUUCCGUGAGACUGCUCCGUUCACUUUACAUAUAGUAUUAAAUGAGAAAUUUUUUUUCAAAAAGUUCCAUGGACACUUUCAGAACAUAAAAAUUGUAAAACAAUCAUUGUUCAAAGGUCCUCUUCAAAUGGUCAAUGUUUUAUUAAAGGUGGUUAAAAACCACUUAUAUGGUCCCAAAAUGACAGAAUAUCAUGAUAAAACUUUUCAAAAAAAUUUGGAAAAAUUUUUAUUUACUGUCAAAAAGUGGCAAUUACUCAGUUUUUGCCACUCAUAAUUUUGGAAGUCGACCAAAAAAACUUAUUUUCGACUUUUUUAAUGCUUUAAUUUUGUUUAAAUUAUUUGUAUUAAAACAUUGUAGGGGUCGAAACAUACCUACAUUGCUUUGGAUUCCCUCAAAAGCUCGUAUUUUUUAAAAUUUUGGUAAAUUGCCAAAAAUUUGAAAAGUAUGAGAUUUUGGGGAAAUCCAAAGCAAUGUAGAAUGUUUCGACCCCUACAAUGCUUUAAUACAAAUCAUUUAAACAAAAUAACAGUAUAAAAAAAGACAGAAAUUUUUUUGGUCAACUUCCAAAAUUAUGAGUGGCAAAAACUGAGUAAUUGCCACUUUUUGACAGUAGAUAAAAAAAUUUCAAAAAUUUUUUGAAAAGUUUUAUUAUGAUAUUCGGUCAUUUUGGCAUCAUGUGAGUAGUUUUUAACACUUUCCCCAGUGGUACUACUCCACCUUUAACUUGAACUUGGCGAGCAAACCAAGGUGUGUAGCCGGAAAAAGGUAAUUUUAAAUUAGCUUUUUUGCAGAAUUGAAAAAAAUCAUAAAACAAUUUACACGACACAUUUUAUAAAUUUUCUGACCGUUAUAUCUGAUCAUUCCGAAUUAUUCGAUUAUCUGUCAUUUAAAGCUUUCAAGAAAUCACUAAUCGACUCUAUUGCACCCUUAAACUUAAUUAGUUUAGUUAACGUUAUUAUUAGUUUAUAUUCACUUAAAUUCAUUUAAAAAUAUUUCGUCGCAUUCAUCAAAUGGAAAUUAGGUGCAGAAACGCAGGAAACUCAAGAAAAGUUAUUUAUUUCACAUUGUUGUCUAGUCGCUAUGAUAUACAAAUGUUAAUUCGUACAUGCAUCAUGUUCAGUAAAAUUAUUGGCAUUAUAUAUAUAUACUAAAGUUUUAAAAUAAAAGAAAUCUUCAGAGAAUCUUCCCAACGAGAACGUCUUGUCGCGCUGGCUAAUGAUCUUACAGGCCUAUGUGACAACUUCAAAUAUGUGAGUCUUACUUUUGUUAAUGUUAAAGAGAUUAUUUCCAUUACAGACCAAACCGUUCCACAAAGAUCUGGAACACUGCGAUACUUGGAGUUUUUGGUCUCUAGAAGUAUGUUGAACGUGCUCUUGUUGCUUUUUUCAAUUGAUUCUCUUUUUCAGGGGCUUUACAAUUACGACAUGGAAUCUCUUGCAAGAAUGGCGCGCGAAAAUGCUGGAAUCGAGAUAGGAG